CGCGACCCCAGGUCAGGCGGGACUACCCGCUGAGUUU
rnacentral:rRNA from 2 species